rnacentral:lncRNA from 1 species
GAGCACAGAGGAGACAGGGAGUGCUUCAUGUAGUCAGUGGCAUAUAAUCUGGAUCUUAGGGUAUGGGGAGGGAGGACUGGAAUAGUUGGCAGUGAGGAGAGACCACUCUGGGUGGCAGAAAUGGCUUGAGCAAAGGUUCAGAUGCAAGGAAGUGCAAGGUGUGACUGAAGCAAGCUCUCUAUAGGGGAACAAUGGGAUGCAGUUCUGAAAAGGCAGAUUGUGGUUAAGGCUUUGAGAGCUGAACUACUAACAAGUUCUUUCUUUAGGUAAUCAGGAGCCAAAGAAAUUAAGUAUGUGUGUGAAAUGAUCAAAGAGAUGCUGUAAUAGUAUUAACGUGGCAGGCAGCAUUCAGGAUGGAUUGGAUGUGGGGAGGGGCUGGAGAGCGAGCAUAGUUGAGAGGCUACAGUGCUGACUGUCUUAGGGAGGUGAGUAGGAGGUAGGUAGGAUGAUGGCAAAGGGAAGAGUGAAGUAGGGGCAGCUGUGAGAUAAGGAAGCUCGUAUUGGAUGGUCUUGGAAGAAGGUCUUGCAUUCAGAGUAAAAGCAUAAGAUCGUGGUGAAGGCUUGAAAAAAAUGUGAGUGGAUUAGAGGAAUUGCAAAUAGAAGCGCAAUUUGGAUUCAAGGCAGAUGAUGAGUGAAGGUACAGAAAAGUUAGAUGACUUGCCCAGGGUCCUUUGGCUGGAAGCUAGCAGAUCUGAGACUUGAGCCAGGCCUCAUCUCUCCAGAGCAGACCCCAGUAUUUUGUAUGGAUGAGUGGAGAUGAAAAAUUAACUGAGGAAUUCAGAUAUAUGGUGGAUUUGCCAGACCCUACUUGCAUACAUGGGCUCUGUUGGCCUCCUCUUUGUAUACAGACAUCGCUGUCAACACCAGCAGAGGAAACAUAUGAAUGGUGGCAAUUCUUUGUUUAUUUUGCUUAUCGGUUGGGUUUCCUGAAAAGCAGAUGCUGACAAGACAGUAUGCAAAAGAUUAAGUAAGAUGGUUCCUUGGGGUCAACACCUGUGGAAGAGAAGGAAAGGAAGCAGGAUUGUUUAAAGCAAGAAAUUUGGGCUCUGAUGCAGUCCCAGUAAAAUUCGCAGUUGACCCCACAGGAAGUUCUGGUGCUGGCAUGAUUCUUCAGAGUUGUACAGGUUGGACAAGAUGGAUCUCUUCAAUUCCUGGAGGGGUUGACAGCUGAGAGCUUUGCACCAGCAGCACUCCCACUAGCUGGACGUGCAUGCCCUUCCAAUGCAUAAUAUUACCUAUGAUACUCUCCUGUGGGAUUUAGCUGUUUGUAGCAUCAAUGCAAAAUACUUAUUUUAAGAGUUUCCAACAUCACUGCAUUUAGCUUUAGAAAAUUGUACCAUCACUGUCAUAUUUCUCAACUGUCUCUUCAAGGACAUGGGGGUCAUAUCAUUCUGGGUCUUUUCUUUCUUGGGUUCCAUUAGAAAUGCAGAAAUCUCUGGUUGACAAGAAUGGCCACAUGGCUAGCAAAGAGGUCAUACCAAAAGUUUCUUUAAGGCAUUACUUAAUGUUCAUGCAAAGAGGGCAAAGUUUUGGAGACCAUGUUAUAUUUGUGUAAGCUCCAUUAGUAACAAGCCUGGCUCCUGAAUGCUACUUCAGGGAUAGAUAGCAUGAAAAAUCUUGGGAAAGGAAUAGCAUUGCAGAAAGUCCUCCAAUAUUAAAAACUUAAGAAAUGUGCUUUAGGCCUUGGAUUUAGUACCUUCACUUGUGUCCAAGGGUUUAUAUUACAAAGAGGAUUGAAGUACACUAAAUUGUGAGCCAGGCUAGAUUACUUCUAGGAUGUCUUCUAACUCAAGGUCUGAGAUUCUAAGAGACUCCACAGGGUCUUCAACAUUUUCCAGAUUUUAGCUUUGCUAAUUGCAUAUGCUCUCAAGAAUUACAUUUCAGCUGAAAUUCACUGAGUUAGUGCACUCCCAUCACAACCAAAAUGCAUUCUGAGUGGUUUUACAGCAACAGCUUGUGGCUGACAGGCAAUGGAAAAAGAUACAGGAUAAUCUAUGGCCUCCAAGGAAUCAGUCCAGGAGUAAAGACAGCCUCAGGGCUUUCAAGGUGGUUCUUAUCAGCAUAGCACUAGAGCACCUGCAUUUUCUCGUGGACAGAAGAAUCAGGGAGCUGGCUUUGCACAGUGUUGGAUUUGAGAUUUCCCUUCUGCACUUCAUUUUCCCGAUGGCAAAAUAAGAGGGAGGCCCCAAAUGAACUUUAAGCUUCCUCUCAGCCUUAACACUCCAUGACUAAAACAUAAACUUGGUCCAGUAACUUGUCUUCCAUCUGUGCCCCCGUAAAAAUUAAACCUAAGAGAAGCUAUUAAAGGAAUGCCUGAGCAAAAAUGUAAUUUGUCUUUGGAUAGACAUAAAGUUACUGUUAAGAAAAUAAUUUCCAGUGGCAUCCAGGGUGGCUCUUCACUAGAGAGCCAGGCUUGUGUUUUAAUAAGGCUUUGAGCCAGAUACAGAGAGGAGAGAAACUAUUCUUCAUGAAUCCAGGCUGUGGCAUUCUUCACAAAGACCUUGAAGAACGCAGACCCCAAGCUCUCGGGAUGCUUUAUCAUUUUAUCUAGAAUUAAAUUAAUAAACUUGGUAAAGUCUGUGCUCUAUAGAAAGUCUGUGUUAGCACACAUAAUGAAAACGGAAGCAAAACUGUUCAUAAAUAGAUUAUGAAGCCAGAAAAUCUGUAGCGGUCAAAGAGAAACAAUUGUUUGAAGUUACUUAAGCCCAGCCAAAAGUCUGUUGCUAGCCACUCUCUGGAAAUGCAAUACCUCUUCCAUCUCCUCCAGCCUCCCACUUAUCACAGUGCAGUUGCAUCUUUCUGUUGGUCUAGGGUUUCUAAUUGAGCAUUACUCAGUUUGCAUUUCUAUCAUGGAGACGCAGAGAUGUCUGUAGGUUAUCAGAAGAAAGAACCCUUGAUAGACUGUGUAGGUGAACUCCCUUUCCCUACAUAGGGUCCAGGAAGAAAUUACCUAUAAUUUGUAACAGUGCAGCCUGGGAUCACCUGAAUCAUCUCCUCACAUGUGAAAAUAAAAAUCAACUGAGAAAUUAGAAUAUGUUGAGAAAGAAAAGCAAAGAGAAGGGGGAGGAAAAAAGUAUCAGAAUACAGCCAAGAUGCACGUUAUCGUCAUCUGUUUGUUUUAAUUGAAUGGUUUGUGUCUUCAGGCAAUCUCAUUAUUCUCCCCAAAGCAGAAGUGCUGAAUGAAGACACAAACUUCAUUAACCUUUGAAUGCUGAAAUCAAUAAUCUGCAAUAAAUCUAAGCUAAUUUGUUGCCAAUAAAUUUCACAAAAUGCAGUGUUUUAUAGCUGGGGACUUCCGAGGAUGGGGUAAAAGCAUCCACAUCUGUAUCAAGAUGGUAUCUGGGGUUUGUCUUGUUGGGUUUUAGGAUCCUCUGAACAGGAAACAGGUUAAUUACAUAUACAUAGAACAUGAUUUUCCAGUAGGGUUAAUAAUCUGUUUUUUUAGUUGUGAACACAAUGGGACCUUUUCUUGUCCCAUGACUCUUUCUAAUAAAUGACGCGAAUAAAGAGAAACAAACAGCUG